rnacentral:lncRNA from 1 species
AUGGGAUAUUGUGAUACAAGCAUACAGUAUGUAAUGAUCAAAUCAGAAUACUUGGGAUAUCCAUCAGAGAUAAAAAGAAUCACAUUCUACACAUGCCCCAGCUCUAAUCCUUUUUCUACACCUGGCCUGAGUCAGAUAAAUUUUAAUCCUUUAUUUGCCACUGAAAACAAAGUUAGCUACUAUCUGGGUGGAAGCAAAGGUAGGGACUCCUGUAGGAGGGAGGUGUAGGUGGAUAUUGAUUUAGUCGGAUUUACUUUACCUUAUUUCACAAUAGAAGACUGUAUUGGGGGCUCCUGAAAGGGUCUAAAGAAAUGGAGUAAAAACAUACCAACCCCUGAGUUUUCUCUGUAAGCUGUUUCUCAGGAAACUUUAGGAAGCUUCCCUUGCCUUUUUAUCAGAUUUUAAACUCUACGAGGGCACAGAAUCUAUUUUUCACACAACUUGCAAGUUUUGAGGCUUUUAUUGCAUGUCAGGCACUGUUCUAGGUAUUGAGUGCAAGAAGAAAAAACAGAUUUUGGUUUAAGUAGCUUAUAUUCGUGUGUGUGUGUGUGUGUGCACGCACGCACGCGCACAUGUGUGCAUGUGCACACACGUGGUGAGAGUGUUUAUGUUUGCGUGGCAGGAGGGACACAGGUAAUAAAAAGACACAUAUAAAAUAUAUAAGGUGGCAAAAAUAAAUGCCAAUACUGAUGAGUUUCAUAAGAAAACCAAACCAGAAGGAUCUAGAAAUUGGCUGGGGUUGGGGUGGGUAGUUUCUAUUUUAUAUUGAAUAGUAGAAGAAGGAAACUCUGAUAGGUUAUUAUUUGAGAAGAAACAUGUUUCUGACAUUUUUCAGAAACAGCAAGAAGGUCAGUAUGACUUGAAAAGAGAAAUAAGGUGACUGGUAGGGCAAGCAACAAGGGGUUAGACUGUACAGGACCUUAGCAAAGCCAUGGCAAAGACAGUGUAUUCUACUUUGAAUAAAAUGAGAAGCAUUAGUGGGUUUUGAGCAAAGGCUCACUUCGGCUGCUGUGUUCAGACAGAACAGAGGAGGAAGCAUAGAACUUAGUUAUCUUUAUUAACUGCCUCUGGACACACCUAGAGCGCUGCAGAGGGGACUGAGUGAGAUAAUACUCACAGAGUUAUUGCAUGAGUUAAUACAUCCUAAGACCCUAGAACAUAAAAAUGCUCAGUGACUUUGUUUGGAGGCCAACAUAAUUAAGUGGUUAUGAGGUGGUCUUAACCAUUUCCAUGCCCGGAUUCAAUCCUUGCUCAAUUUCUUACUUGUUUGAUUUUCUAAAAGUUACCUAACUCCUUCAUUCCUUGAAUUUCUCAUCUGUAAAUGUGAAUAAUAAUAGUGUCUACCUCACAGAAUCAUUGUGAGGAUUCAAAUUAGUCUAUGUCUAUACAAUAUCUACGGCAUUACUGUGCACAUAGUAAACAUUCAAUAAAUGUUAUCAAUGUCACUAUAUAGCUUUUACGUUUAGAUGACAUUGUUUCAGGUUUUCCAUCUCAAAAGCUUCUUAUGAAGUAAGUCACAUAAAUACUAUUUCUAUUUUGUAGACAAGGGGAUUGACAUUCAGAGAAGUGAAAUGACUUGCUCAGAAUCACUUAGCUAGAAAACACUGGAGUGGAAUUGAACCCAGAUAUUCCUACUAUUCUUUUCAUUAUAUUCCACUGCAUUUGAAUGUUUAUAUACGUUUUAGAAGAACUCAGGGUCAAACCUCUGAGCUCUAAAUUGAUGAUUCUUUUUAUUUUAUCAUAGCUCUUAAUAAAAUAUUUGUAUAAUGAAUGAAAGUAUGCAUUAAUAAAAGAAAAAAUUAAACGAGAAAGGAGAAUCCUUUAGAAAGAAGACAAGUUUAGGUUGCUAGAACGUGCAGCGUGGAUUUAGGAGACUGGAUACCAAUCAGUUGUUGACACAUUGUAUAAUUCUGAGAAAAUUGCCUAACAUCUUGAGUCUUUGGUUUCUUCAUCUGCUAAAUGAAAUCUCAGUAUAUUCUCAUAUCUGCUGGCUAGAUUUGUGAAAAUAUAUGCCAAGAUAAAGAUGGAAACACUUAGGAAAAAAUGCUCCAUAUACCACAUGUGUUGCUACUAUUAAACUUCUCUAAGAAAAUUCAGAUCUAGACACCUCUAAAAUACCUUCUGGGGUUGGUUAGUAAGCAUUUGCUCAAAAACUUGAAUUUUUGCACUUUUUUUGGUGGGGGAGGGUGAGUAAGGAUUAAAACUUUUUUCUAGUGGCUUAAAUUCAUGGUAAUUUUCCUAACUACCUUAGAGAAAGUUGUCCAAUCUCACUUUCUUCUUGAUUUUCAUGGUAAAAGUAAUCGCCUGGUCUCUUAGUCCUUUCAGGAUGCUAUAACAAGAUGCUGUAGACUGGGUAGCUUAUAAACAACAGAGAUAUAUUUUUCACAGUUCUGGAGGUGGGGAAGUCCAAGCUGAAGCUGCCAGCAGAUUUGGUGUCUGGUGAGGACUCUCUUCUGGUUUCACAGACAGCACCUUGCUAUGUCCUCGUGUGGUAGAAGGGGAAAGAACUUCUUGGGACCUCUUACCCAAUCAGUAAUCCUAUUCAUGAGGACUCUGCUCUCAUGACAUGAACAUCUUCCAAAGGCCCCACAUCCAAGUAUCUUCACAUUGAAACUGUUCCACGUAUGAAUUUAGGGGAAUACAAAUAUUGAGACCUUAGCAAUAGCAGACUCUCUUUCCCAACUAUCAGCAGUCACCCUUAUUGGAAACAGUUAACAAAACUUUAUUGAUUUUGAUAAACAUUUAUUGAAUACCUAUUAUGUACCAAUAAUUCUAUUAGGGGAGGCCAAAAUGGUAAGACAUCAUUUCUGACCUUAUGGAGUUCAGAAUUGAAAUGGGAAGACAGUCUCACAAACCAUGCAGAAAUCACAUGUGAUAUAAACUAUAAUGGAAACAUUUACAAGAUGCUUUGGGCAUGUAUUCCAAAAUACGCUUACCCAUGACUGGUGUUGGAUGGAAAGGACUGGCUUAAGAAGGUGCGCCACAAAAGAUGUUCAAACUAAAUCUUGAAGUAGAGGCUGGAGAUUAAAUGAGCGCUGGGGCUUUGAAGAAGCAGAGUCUGUGAGUUCGUUCCUUUUAUUUAUUUUUUGAUUUAUUUAUUUAUUUUGCCACAAGCAGAUUUCUUUUUUUUUUUUAUUUUAGAGGAAUGGAAUAUAGUUGUUACUACAGGAGGAGGUUUUUUUGGGGAGGUAUUUUAGGACAUUUACUGGUUGAAGGAAAAAUGAGAUUAACAUUUUAGAAGAAAAUUAGCAAAGCAAUGCCUUGUGGAUGCAGGAGGGCUGAAUUAAUUUGAAGGGAGAAAGAAGACUUUGUUGCACUACUACCAACCUACGGAGGCACUGAUGUGACACAAGCACCCACUGUAGUAAGGCUAUUUUCUGAAUUCUUACACCGUUAAUGUCUGGGGAGAAUGUAACAUAGGGGCAUACAUCUUCAUAGAAAAUAAUAAGUAUUGGUUUGCCCCGAACUAUGAGACAUUUGCAUGUCAAAAUAUUUUAUAACAGUAGUAGGCAAAAUUGUUAUAAAACGGUGGCUGACGUGGCUUGUGUUUAAAAUUUCUACUCUAUCCUGAGCAAACAAGGGCUAGUCAGGAUAUUGAAGAAAGGUCACAGGCUUUAUGAAACAGACCAGUUGAGAUAAGCAGUCAGUAUUAUCUGAUAUUUCUCAAGACUGAACCUGAACUCCAAACCUGGAGCUUUGCCCAGCUGCACAUCCUAUCUGGCUUAUGCUUUUUCCUAUAGGCAACUAAGUCAGGAUCAGAUGGGUGGCAGAUACCAGGCCAUAUGUAUAUUUAUAAUAUUGCAAACUUGCCAUCAAGCUGACUAAGCCAAAUUAAGCAUAUAAGAAAUG